GCAUUAAUGGGGUAGUGGUAACCUGGGUCGUUGCCAUCGGGCGUUACGAUAAAGAUGUCGACCCGCCGGGGGUUCGAUUCCCCCUUAAUGCA